UGGGGAGUCUUGCGCAAUGGGCGAAAGCCUGACGCAGCCAUGCCGCGUGAAUGAUGAAGGUCUUAGGAUUGUAAAAUUCUUUCACCGGGGACGAUAAUGACGGUACCCGGAGAAGAAGCCCCGGCUAACUUCGUGCCAGCAGCCGCGGUAAUACGAAGGGGGCUAGCGUUGCGCGGAAUUACUGGGCGUAAAGGGAGCAUAGGCGGACAUUCAAGUCAGGGGUGAAAUCCCGGGGCUCAACCUCGGAAUUGCCUUUGAUACUGGGUGUCUUGAGUGUGAGAGGUGUCUGUGGAACUCCGAGUGUAGUGGUGCAAUUCGUAGAUGUUCGGCAGAACACCAGUGGCGAAGGCGACAUACUGGCUCAUUACUGACGCUGCAGCUCGGAAGCGUGGGGAGCAAACA
rnacentral:rRNA from 1 species